AGCCAGAGGAGAGUCUCAGCUCUGAGCUUUAAUUCUUAAACAUGUUUUGGUAAAAUGCUUUCCAGUCCUGUGGAGUAUUGCUCAACUUACUCACAACCAUAAGAUAUUGUUGACAGUUAUUUUCAUCCAUCAUUCCAAAUGAAGCCAAAAUGAAAUACAUUUUUCUUUUAUUAACGCAUUCAUCUGGGUUUCUUUUCUCCAGUCCCUACUGUGUCUCUUUUGUCUCAAUGAGCAGCAUGACAGGAUCCGUCAGCCUUUUGUUUGAUCCCAGGCAAGAAAUGAAUGCCUUAGAGGUUUGUCAGCAAUUGCAUUCUCAACCAACAGUGAGUGAACAGCAGUACAGAGAUCCCAAAGAGAAAUUCUCUACAUUGGAGGCUACUGCCUACUCCCUGGACAACUAGCUGCAGAAAUUCAACAACAACCAGGACAGUGAAGGCCACAAGAAGACUCAGGUCAACUCCAGAGCCCAGAUUCAAGGGCCACUAAAAGAGGUUGAAGAGCUGAAGGUGAAACUGAAGCAGCUUCAAGAACAUUUCUCUGAGACUGAAAAAAGAUCACCCAGUUAAAGGAAUAUUAUUGACUGCAAGAAAGAAUUUAUCAGAGCACUCUCCACCAGUCAACUGCCUGAUGAACAUUGUGGCAUUCUCCAAAUCCCAGCUCUAAAACCUGGAAAAGAAGGUGAAAUCUCAGAAGGUGGAAUGUCAGCAGCUCUCUACAAACCU